GACUAAAUAUUUAAAAAAUAAAUAGGAUCGCUAUGGUUUCAAACUUUAUUUUUAUUCGAGCAAUAGUGUGGUUACAGGAAGAUUUGCUAUGCUAUGCCACAAAAGACGUUAGGCUUGCAUACAUAUAUCGAAAUAAGGCGAAGAUGGUUCCAACGAUUUUGGGCUGUGAUUAUGAGAUUGAGGAAGUCACAUCGAUGAUUACUGUAAAGUGUGGGUUCGAAGAAGUUCUCCCGCUGUGACCGUGAGUUGAAAUAAGCCACAAGUUCUAAUAAUUUUAAAAUAUUUUAAAUUUACUCUUAUGGCAGCCCUAUUUUAGGAACCAGAUUAACACUUCAUAUGUGGCUUCUUCGGAUCCGAACAAGCGGUAUAACUUCCCCAAUGGAACCCAGGUGCAGUGUAUCCUGACCGAAAUGUAUCCCAGACCCAGUCUUAAAAUCAUAUCCCAAACUGGGAAAGUUAUGAAAGAGGAGUCUAGUGCCCAGGAAUACGAGGAUGGCUAUUUCAAUGCCACUGCGGCUGCGGACGUAAAUGAGAC